rnacentral:rRNA from 1 species
AUUGAACGCUGGCGGCAUGCUUUACACAUGCAAGUCGAACGGCAGCGCGGGGGCAACCCUGGCGGCGAGUGGCGAACGGGUGAGUAAUGUAUCGGAACGUAUCCUGUAAUGGGGGAUAACCAGUCGAAAGAUUGGGUAAUACCGCAUACGCACGAGAGUGGAAAGUAGGGGAUCGCAAGACCUUACGUUAUAGGAGCGGCCGAUAUCUGAUUAGCUAGUUGGUGGGGUAAAGGCCUACCAAGGCGACGAUCAGUAGCUGGUCUGAGAGGACGACCAGCCACACUGGGACUGAGACACGGCCCAGACUCCUACGGGAGGCAGCAGUGGGGAAUUUUGGACAAUGGGCGAAAGCCUGAUCCAGCCAUGCCGCGUGCAGGAAGAAGGCCUUCGGGUUGUAAACCUCUUUCAGCAGGGAAGAAGCGAAAGUGACGGUACCUGCAGAAGAAGCACCGGCUAACUACGUGCCAGCAGCCGCGGUAAGAGUACUCUAU